rnacentral:rRNA from 1 species
CGUAGGGUGCGAGCGUUAAUCGGAAUUACUGGGCGUAAAGCGUGCGCAGGCGGUUAUGUAAGACAGAUGUGAAGUCCCCGGGCUCAACCUGGGACCUGCAUUUGUGACUGCAUAGCUAGAGUACGGUAGAGGGGGAUGGAAUUCCGCGUGUAGCAGUGAAAUGCGUAGAUAUGCGGAGGAACACCGAUGGCGAAGGCAAUCCCCUGGACCUGUACUGACGCUCAUGCACGAAAGCGUGGGGAGCAAACAGGAUUAGAUACCCUGGUAGUCCGCGCCCUAAACGAUGUCAACUGGUUGUUGGGUCUUCACUGACUCAGUAACGAAGCUAACGCGUGAAGUUGACCGCCUGGGGAGUACGGCCGCAAGGUUG